UACGUAGGGGGCUAGCGUUGUCCGGAAUCAUUGGGCGUAAAGAGCGUGUAGGCGGCUCGGUAAGUCCGCUCUGAAAGCCCGGGGCUCAACCCCGGGAGGCGGGCGGAUACUGUCGGGCUAGAGUCCGGAAGAGGCGAGUGGAAUUCCUGGUGUAGCGGGUGAAAUGCGCAGAUAUCAGGAGGAACACCAAUAGCGAAGGCAGCUCGCUGGGACGGUACUGACGCUGAGACGCGAAAGCGUGGGGAGCAAACAGG
rnacentral:rRNA from 1 species